rnacentral:rRNA from 1 species
UACGUAGGGGGCAAGCGUUGUCCGGAUUUAUUGGGCGUAAAGAGCGUGUAGGCGGUUUGGUAGGUCCGCUGUGAAAACUCGAGGCUCAACCUCGAGACGCCGGUGGAAACCAUCAGGCUAGAGUCCGGAAGAGGAGAGUGGAAUUCCUGGUGUAGCGGUGAAAUGCGCAGAUAUCAGGAAGAACACCCGUGGCUAAGGCGGCUCUCUAGUACGGUACUGACGCUGAGACCGCGAAAAGCGUGGGGAGCGAACAGG